UAGGGAAUCUUCCACAAUGGACGAAAGUCUGAUGGAGCAACGCCGCGUGAGUGAAGAAGGUUUUCGGAUCGUAAAGCUCUGUUGUUGGUGAAGAAGGAUAGGAGCAGUAACUGGUUUCCAUUUGACGGUAAUCAACCAGAAAGUCACGGCUAACUACGUGCCAG
rnacentral:rRNA from 1 species